UUACUNCUUGAGCGCCANUNUCAUGGCCCUUACGGCCUGGGCUACACACGUGCUACAAUGGUCGGUACAAAGGGUUGCCAAGCCGCGAGGUGGAGCUAAUCCCAUAAAACCGAUCGUAGUCCGGAUCGCAGUCUGCAACUCGACUGCGUGAAGUCGGAAUCGCUAGUAAUCGUGAAUCAGAAUGUCACGGUGAAUACGUUCCCGGGCCUUGUACACACCGCCCGUCACACCAUGGGAGUGGGUUGCUCCAGAAGUAGCUAGUCUAACCUUCGGGGGGACGGUUACCACGGAGUGAUUCAUGACUGGGGUGAAUUCGUAACAAGGUAGCCGUANGGGAACCUGCGGNUAGG
rnacentral:rRNA from 2 species